UACAGAGGCCUCGAGCGUUAGGCGGAAUCACUGGGCUUAAAGCGUGUGUAGGCGGAUGCCUAAGUGCUUUGUGAAAUCCCACGGCUCAACCGUGGAAUUGCUUGGCAUACUGGGUGUCUUGAGCCAUCUAGGGGGCGAGCGGAACAAGUGGUGGAGCGGUGAAAUGCGUAGAUAUCACUUGGAACGCCAACGGUGAAAACAGCUCGCUGGGGGAUGAUGCUG
rnacentral:rRNA from 1 species